rnacentral:piRNA from 1 species
GCCUAUUCACACUAAGGAAACAGAAUAUGA